rnacentral:rRNA from 1 species
GAUGAACGCUGGCGGCGUGCUUAACACAUGCAAGUCGAACGAACUGAGGAGAGCUUGCUCUCCAAAGUUAGUGGCGGACGGGUGAGUAACGCGUGGGUAACCUACCCUAUGCAGGGGGAUAACGUUUGGAAAUGAACGCUAAUACCGCAUAAACUAUCGGUAGUCGCAUGACUACUAUAGCAAAGAUGCAGACUUUAGUCUGUUUUCGGCAUAGGAUGGACCCGCGUUGGAUUAGCUAGUUGGUGAGAUAACAGCCCACCAAGGCGACGAUCCAUAGCCGGCCUGAGAGGGUGAACGGCCACAUUGGGACUGAGACACGGCCCAAACUCCUACGGGAGGCAGCAGUGGGGAAUAUUGCACAAUGGGCGAAAGCCUGAUGCAGCAACGCCGCGUGAAGGAUGAAGGUCUUCGGAUUGUAAACUUCUAUCAGUAGGGAAGAAAAGCAACGUAAGUUGCCAUGACGGUACCUAACUAAGAAGCUCCGGCUAACUACGUGCCAGCAGCCGCGGUAAUACGUAGGGAGCAAGCGUUAUCCGGAUUUACUGGGUGUAAAGGGUGCGUAGGCGGCUUGUUAAGUCAGAAGUGAAAUUUCGGGGCUCAACCCCGGAGCUGCUUCUGAAACUGGCGAGCUAGAGUGUGGGAGAGGAAAGUGGAACUUUGAGUGUAGCGGUGAAAUGCGUAGAGAUUCAAAGGAACACCAGUAGCGAAGGCGGCUUUCUGGACCAUAACUGACGCUGAGGCACGAAAGCGUGGGGAGCAAACAGGAUUAGAUACCCUGGUAGUCC